rnacentral:rRNA from 1 species
CCUACGGGUUGCACCAGUCGAGAAUAAUUCACAAUGGACGAAAGUCUGAUGGUGCAACGCCGCGUGGAGGAUGAAGGUCUUCGGAUUGUAAACUCCUGUCAUCGGGAAGAAAGACCUGGAGGUGAAUAGCCUACAGGGUUGAUAGUACCCGAAGAGGAAGGGACGGCUAACUUCGUGCCAGCAGCCGCGGUAAUACGAAGGUCCCAAGCGUUGUUCGGAAUCACUGGGCGUAAAGGGAGCGUAGGCGGCGUGGUAAGUCAGGUGUGAAAUCCCGGGGCUCAACCCCGGAACUGCACCCGAUACUGCCGUGCUUGAGGGUUGGAGAGGUAGCUGGAAUUCUCGGUGUAGCAGUGAAAUGCGUGGAUAUCGAGAGGAACACUCGUGGCGAAGGCGAGCUACUGGACAACAUCUGACGCUGAGGCUCGAAGGCCAGGGGAGCAAAAGGGAUUAGAUACCCCAGUAGUC